CCCGAUGCACCAUGUAAAGACUGGCACCUAUUUCUGUGGACUAUGCAUGGACUGGUUGGCCAGUCCAUUGUACACCAAACAAUCUUUUGGCUGGUUUGGGUUGGGUUUGUGAGUCAAUUUGGGUUGAUUUUGAGCCCAAUUUGAUUUGCAUUUGGGCCUGCCUUUGGAUCUCCAUUCGGAAUCCAUUUUGAAUCGAUUUGCUUCCAAUUUUCUUCUUUUUAACCUACAAAUUGGGCUCUU
rnacentral:lncRNA from 1 species